rnacentral:rRNA from 1 species
AACGUAGGAGACGAACGUUAUCCGGAGUUACUGGGCGUAAAGGGCGUGUAGGCGGUUUGUUAAGUCUGGCGUGAAAGCUCUCGGCUAAACCGGGAGAGGUCGUUGGAUACUGGCAAAUUAGAGGAUGGUAGAGGCGUGUGGAAUUCCGGGUGUAGUGGUGAAAUGCGUAGAUAUUCGGAGGAACACCAGUGGCGAAGGCGGCUCACUGGUCCGGUACUGACGCUGAGGUGCGAAAGCGUGGGGAGCAAACAGG